rnacentral:rRNA from 1 species
UACGGAGGGUGCAAACGUUGCUCGGAAUCAUUGGGCGUAAAGCGCACGUAGGCGGACUGUUAAGUCGGACGUGAAAUCCCUCAGCUUAACUGAGGAAGUGCAUUCGAAACUGGCAGUCUUGAGUACGGGGAGAGGGUCGCGGAAUUCCCGGUGUAGAGGUGAAAUUCGUAGAUAUCGGGAGGAACACCAGUGGCGAAGGCGGCGGCCUGGACCGAUACUGACGCUGAGGUGCGAAAGCGUGGGGAGCAAACAGGG